GCAACUUUGGCCGAGUUGGUUAUGGCGCCAGACUCAAGAAAUUUACUUCUUUCACUGUCUCAGUGAGCUUUCUGGUCUCGAAAGAGGCGUGGGUUCGAAUCCCACAGGUUGCA
rnacentral:tRNA from 1 species